rnacentral:lncRNA from 1 species
GGUGGGCGGGCGCGGAGAGGCUGCCCAGCCCCUGCCGCUGCCGCCGCCGUCUGCCUGCUGUUCGGAGGCUUUGUCUGGGCUCCUGUGUCUCUCUCCCUCCCUCUCUCCCUCUCCCCCCCAACAACCCCCCGUCUGUCUGUCUCUGUCUCCCUCCCUCUCCCCCUCCGCCCCCCCCAUGCUCCUUCUCUCACCCGCUCGCUUGUUCGCUCCGCGUCUCUCUCUCCCCCCUCUCUCCCCCUCUCUCUCUCUCCCUCCCUCCCUCUCCCUCCUGCGCUCUCUCCCUUCCCGUCUCUGUGGUUUGUAAGGUAGGUUGCACAGUGUGUGUGUGUGUAUACAACAUCGGGAGCAGGAAAAUGGACUCAUUGGGGAGAAGAGCAGUCAUUACUACUCACACUGUACUUCCAGGGAGACCCUGAGUAUGAGCAGAGGAGCUCGGCGCUGGGGACCAAGCCACAUCGAAGGCAAGUGCUGAGAGCCACCACCGCCAGUGCCGGAGACACGAGACUGCCUGAAGUUACGUUUAGAGGCUGGAAUCUCUGCACCUUGCAAACAAAGAGCCCGACCUCCUCUGCGUUCCUGGCGCGGGGUUCAGCCCCCACCCCCACCAUGAAAUGUCAACGUGCAAGCAACGGCCAUUCCCAGCGCCCCGAUGCCACUCUGGUGGAGGUGAGCGGCGGCACUGGGGGCACCAAGGCAACGGGAGUGGGUCUCAAUGUAGCUGUAGUCUGAGACUCUCGCUCACCUGCUCACUGCCAGGGCAGGAUGGGCACUAACAGGAAGGGAUUGGAGCUUGGAGCUGGAUCCUCCCAAAGGACAAAGCGAGGAGGGUCCCUCUGGGUUCGGUGGGAGAGGGGAAGUCCCAGUCUGACCCCUCUAUGAGGAGAACCCAUCAACGAGGUUGGGGGGGAAGCAAAACUCCACCCUCACAGAGGUGGGGUGAGCAAAAAACCCACCUUGGAGGGAAGGGGCUAGCUGAAACCCCACCCACAGGCUAGCUGGAGUCACUGGUUGGCUCGCAGUAUUUGCAGUUCCUCUGUUACCUGGGGGCCAGCUGGUUGGCUGAGUCAAGAGUAAGGAGGCCUGGGCUCUCAGUAUGGUGCCCUCCAGCCCAGAGGCACAUUGUACAUGCCCUCCAUCCCGCCAUGUACACUAACCAUCCUCUUCCCCUCUGUGUCCAGAUGGGUCCCAGCCCCAGACGGCCACAGCUCAG